rfam:Oryza glumipatula chromosome 12, whole genome shotgun sequence.
UUUAAAUGCAACCAUGAGUUUCCGUGCCCAACUUUGAUCGUCCGUCUUAUUUGAAAUUUUUUUAUAAUUAGUAUUUUUGUUAUUAUGAGAUGAUAAAAUAUAAAUAGUACUUUACUUGUGACUUAUGUUUUUAAGUUUUUUUAAAAAGAUUUCAAAUAAGAUGGACGGACGGUUAAAGUUGGGCGCUGAAAAUCAUGGCUGCAUUUAAA